rnacentral:rRNA from 1 species
AUUGAACGCUGGCGGCAUGCCUUACACAUGCAAGUCGAACGGCAGCACGGGGCAACCUGGUGGCGAGUGGCGAACGGGUGAGUAAUGCAUCGGAACGUACCUUUCAGUGGGGGAUAACGUAGCGAAAGUUACGCUAAUACCGCAUAUUCUGUGAGCAGGAAAGCAGGGGAUCGCAAGACCUUGCGCUGAUUGAGCGGCCGAUGUCAGAUUAGCUAGUUGGUGAGGUAAAGGCUCACCAAGGCGACGAUCUGUAGCGGGUCUGAGAGGAUGAUCCGCCACACUGGAACUGAGGCACGGUCCAGACUCCUACGGGAGGCAGCAGUGGGGAAUUUUGGACAAUGGGGGCAACCCUGAUCCAGCCAGGCCGCGUGAGUGAAGAAGGCCUUCGGGUUGUAAAGCUCUUUCGGCCGGGAAGAAAUCGCACGGGCUAAUACCCUGUGUGGAUGACGGUACCGGAAUAAGAAGCACCGGCUAACUACGUGCCAGCCGCCGCCGUAAUAC